GGGUUGUGAGGUUAAGUGACUAAGCGUACACGGUGGAUGCCUAGGCAGUCAGAGGCGAUGAAGGGCGUGCUAAUCUGCGAAAAGCGUCGGUAAGGUGAUAUGAACCGUUACAACCGGCGAUACCCGAAUGGGGAAACCCAGUGUGUUUCGACACACUAUCAUGUCAUGAAUACAUAGUGGCAUGAGGCGAACCGGGGGAACUGAAACAUCUAAGUACCCCGAGGAAAAGAAAUCAACCGAGAUUCCCCCAGUAGCGGCGAGCGAACGGGGAGGAGCCCAGAACCUGAAUCGGCUUGUGUGUUAGUGGAAGCGUCUGGAAAGUCGCGCAGCAAAGGGUGAUAGCCCCGUACACUAAAAUGCACAGGUCGUGAGUUCGAUGAGUAGGGCGGGACACGUGACAUCCUGUCUGAAUAUGGGGGGACCAUCCUCCAAGGCUAAAUACUCCUGACUGACCGAUAGUGAACCAGUACCGUGAGGGAAAGGCGAAAAGAACCCCGGCGAGGGGAGUGAAAUAGAACCUGAAACCGUGUACGUACAAGCAGUGGGAGCACCUUCGUGGUGUGACUGCGUACCUUUUGUAUAAUGGGUCAGCGACUUAUAUUUUGUAGCAAGGUUAACCGUAUAGGGGAGCCGUAGGGAAACCGAGUCUUAACUGGGCGAAUAGUUGCAAGGUAUAGACCCGAAACCCGGUGAUCUAGCCAUGGGCAGGUUGAAGGUUGGGUAACACUAACUGGAGGACCGAACCGACUAAUGUUGAAAAAUUAGCGGAUGACUUGUGGCUGGGGGUGAAAGGCCAAUCAAACCGGGAGAUAGCUGGUUCUCCCCGAAAGCUAUUUAGGUAGCGCCUCGUGAACUCAUCUUCGGGGGUAGAGCACUGUUUCGGCUAGGGGGCCAUCCCGGCUUACCAAACCGAUGCAAACUCCGAAUACCGAAGAAUGUUAUCACGGGAGACACACGGCGGGUGCUAACGUCCGUCGUGAAGAGGGAAACAACCCAGACCGCCAGCUAAGGUCCCAAAGUCAUGGUUAAGUGGGAAACGAUGUGGGAAGGCAUAGACAGCCAGGAUGUUGGCUUAGAAGCAGCCAUCAUUUAAAGAAAGCGUAAUAGCUCACUGGUCGAGUCGGCCUGCGCGGAAGAUGUAACGGGGCUAAACCAUGCACCGAAGCUGCGGCAGCGACGCUUAGGCGUUGUUGGGUAGGGGAGCGUUCUGUAAGCCGUUGAAGGUGGCCUGUGAGGGUUGCUGGAGGUAUCAGAAGUGCGAAUGCUGACAUAAGUAACGAUAAAGCGGGUGAAAAGCCCGCUCGCCGGAAGACCAAGGGUUCCUGUCCAACGUUAAUCGGGGCAGGGUGAGUCGACCCCUAAGGCGAGGCUGAAAAGCGUAGUCGAUGGGAAACAGGUUAAUAUUCCUGUACUUGGUGUUACUGCGAAGGGGGGACGGAGAAGGCUAGGCUAGCCGGGCGACGGUUGUCCCGGUUUAAGCGUGUAGGGGGUGUGACCUGGUAAAUCCGGUUGCAUAUCAACCCUGAGGCGUGAUGACGAUGCACUACGGUGCAGAAGUAGUUGAUGCCCUGCUUCCAGGAAAAGCCUCUAAGCUCCAGGUAACAUUAAAUCGUACCCCAAACCGACACAGGUGGUCAGGUAGAGAAUACCAAGGCGCUUGAGAGAACUCGGGUGAAGGAACUAGGCAAAAUGGUGCCGUAACUUCGGGAGAAGGCACGCUGGCAUGUAGGUGAAGUCCCUUGCGGAUGGAGCUGAAGCCAGUCGAAGAUACCAGCUGGCUGCAACUGUUUAAUAAAAACACAGCACUGUGCAAACACGAAAGUGGACGUAUACGGUGUGACGCCUGCCCGGUGCUGGAAGGUUAAUUGAUGGGGUCAGCCGCAAGGCGAAGCUCUUGAUCGAAGCCCCAGUAAACGGCGGCCGUAACUAUAACGGUCCUAAGGUAGCGAAAUUCCUUGUCGGGUAAGUUCCGACCUGCACGAAUGGCGUAAUGAUGGCCAGGCUGUCUCCACCCGAGACUCAGUGAAAUUGAACUCGCUGUGAAGAUGCAGUGUACCCGCGGCAAGACGGAAAGACCCCGUGAACCUUUACUAUAGCUUGACACUGAACAUUGAGCCUUGAUGUGUAGGAUAGGUGGGAGGCUUUGAAGCGUGGACGCCAGUCUGCGUGGAGCCAUCCUUGAAAUACCACCCUUUAAUGUUUGAUGUUCUAACUCGGCCCCAUAAUCUGGGGUGAGGACAGUGUCUGGUGGGUAGUUUGACUGGGGCGGUCUCCUCCCAAAGAGUAACGGAGGAGCACGAAGGUUAGCUAAUCACGGUCGGACAUCGUGAGGUUAGUGCAAAGGCAUAAGCUAGCUUGACUGCGAGAGUGACGGCUCGAGCAGGUACGAAAGUAGGUCUUAGUGAUCCGGUGGUUCUGAAUGGAAGGGCCAUCGCUCAACGGAUAAAAGGUACUCCGGGGAUAACAGGCUGAUACCGCCCAAGAGUUCAUAUCGACGGCGGUGUUUGGCACCUCGAUGUCGGCUCAUCACAUCCUGGGGCUGAAGUAGGUCCCAAGGGUAUGGCUGUUCGCCAUUUAAAGUGGUACGCGAGCUGGGUUUAGAACGUCGUGAGACAGUUCGGUCCCUAUCUGCCGUGGGCGUUGGAAGAUUGAGAGGGGUUGCUCCUAGUACGAGAGGACCGGAGUGAACGCACCACUGGUGUUCGGGUUGUCAUGCCAAUGGCAUUGCCCGGUAGCUAAGUGCGGAAAAGAUAAGCGCUGAAAGCAUCUAAGCGCGAAACUUGCCUCAAGAUGAGUCUUCCCUGGGCCUUUAAGGUCCCUGAAGGAACGUUUAAGACUAAGACGUUGAUAGGCUGGGUGUGUAAGUGCAGCGAUGCAUUGAGCUAACCAGUACUAAUGAUCCGUGAGGCUUAACCUUACAACACCGAAGGUGUUU
rnacentral:rRNA from 1 species